AGACUCUACUUGACUAGCUGAGAGGAGGUGCAUGGCCGUCGUCAGUUCGUACUGUGAAGCAUCCUGUUAAGUCAGGCAACGAGCGAGACCCACGCCAACAGUUGCAAGCUCGUCCUCCGGGAUGGAGAGGACACUGUUGGGACCGCCUCUGCUAAAGAGGAGGAAGGAAUGGGCAACGGUAGGUCAGCAUGCCCCGAAUUAUCUGGGCUACACGCGGGCUACAAUGGGUGGGACAAUGGGUAUCGACACCGAAAGGUGAAGGCAAUCUCCUAAACCCAUCCUUAGUUCGGAUUGUGGGUUGCAACUCACCCACAUGAAGCUGGAAUCUGUAGUAAUCGUGUCUCAAAAUGGCACGGUGAAUAUGUCCCUGCUCCUUGCACACACCGCCCGUCAAACCACCCGAGUGAGGUCUUGAUGAGGCCGUAGUAUACGCUGCGGUCGGAUCUAGGUUUUGCAAGGGGGGUUAAGUCGUAACAAGGUAACC
rnacentral:rRNA from 1 species